AAACUGAACACCUUCAACAACAACAGAUCAAUUAAGUAACUUCACCUUUCUGUCCACCUGAGUCCUGUCAGUGGAUGCUGGCUGUACUGAACUGUAACACCAGUAACGCUGAGCCCUACAAACUUUUUCUUUGUGCUUUACAGAGGAGGACGGUUGGCCCACCCCCCGCAAAUCCUUUUCUGUAAGGAAUCCCAACAGUAACACUUUUUUUUAUUAUUUUCUUUCAAAAUAUUUCCAAACUGCUUUUUCCCAAUCAAAUUAGAAACAGUGAUUCGGUUUAAAACUGAACAGAAUAACAGAACCAUGAUAAGGAAGCCUAAAUGUUACUCUGUGGCUGUUUCUUAAAUACACAUAUAUAUAUAUAUUUAUUGUAUAAACAUAGAAGUAAAAGGAAAAGAACAAAAGGAGGAAACAAGAGGAAAAAUCGACCAGAAAUACAGAUCUGUGUUUUCCCUCAUCCGUCAAGUCGCUACCAGAAGUUCAAGGCCCUUCACACUGAAAAAGGAAUGGGAGAAGGAGGAAGGGAGAGGAAGCAGCGAGAGCACAGAUAAUCUGAAACCUGAGCGUUAACAUCCGUGUGAGAACACGUGGGAGCAAGGAACAAGGACUAAAAGUUGAUCCUCACGGAGUGUUUUUUCACGCAGAGGAUCCCAGCACCCUCUCCACCACAAUGAACACUGAGAGCCGUGAGCACAGAGUAAGCAAAGGACAGCCAAGGAGCCAAGGAAACGAGGUGCAGCUGAGCCAGCAACAUCAAGAACUUCACUGGUGAAGCUCAAGCACCAGAAAUUCAGAAAUACAAACUCCAGUCCUGCUGCUACUCUGAACAAUGCACUGACAGCCAACAGAAAUCAAGGAUGAAGCAACUAAUAGACAGAUCACCAGCUCCUGAAACACAAGGCAUCGAUCGAGCGGCGCCCAGAAGGCCAUCUGAUAGCAUCGCUAUGUGAUGGGCUCAGGAAAUGAAGAGAGCCAUAUCUAUGUGAAACCAAAGGCGAUAUUUUGAACAGGAAGCUGGUUAGGAGUGGGAGCAGCUGAAUGAAAACAGUGUCAAAGAGAAGAAAAACAAAAUAAUAGCUUGCUUUCCAACUCUCUAAAAUAAAUUAGCGUUUAGAGAAAAACU
ensembl:lncRNA